GAUGAACGCUGGCGGCGUGCCUAAUACAUGCAAGUCGAGCGAACGGACGAGAAGCUUGCUUUUCUGAUGUUAGCGGCGGACGGGUGAGUAACACGUGGAUAACCUACCUUUAAGACUGGGAUAACUUCGGGAAACCGGAGCUAAUACCGGAUAAUAUUUUGAACCGCAUGGUUCAAAAGUGAAAGACGGUCUUGCUGUCACUUAUAGAUGGAUCCGCGCUGCAUUAGCUAGUUGGUAAGGUAACGGCUUACCAAGGCAACGAUGCAUAGCCGACCUGAGAGGGUGAUCGGCCACACUGGAACUGAGACACGGUCCAGACUCCUACGGGAGGCAGCAGUAGGGAAUCUUCCGCAAUGGGCGAAAGCCUGACGGAGCAACGCCGCGUGAGUGAUGAAGGUCUUCGGAUCGUAAAACUCUGUUAUUAGGGAAGAACAUAUGUGUAAGUAACUGUGCACAUCUUGACGGUACCUAAUCAGAAAGCCACGGCUAACUACGUG
rnacentral:rRNA from 1 species